UACGUAGGGGGCUAGCGUUAUCCGGAAUUACUGGGCGUAAAGGGUGCGUAGGUGGUUUCUUAAGUCAGAGGUGAAAGGCUACGGCUCAACCGUAGUAAGCCUUUGAAACUGGGGAACUUGAGUGCAGGAGAGGAGAGUGGAAUUCCUAGUGUAGCGGUGAAAUGCGUAGAUAUUAGGAGGAACACCAGUUGCGGAGGCGGCUCUCUGGACUGUAACUGACACUGAGGCACGAAAGCGUGGGGAGCAAACAGG
rnacentral:rRNA from 1 species